rnacentral:rRNA from 1 species
GACGAACGCUGGCGGCGUGCUUAACACAUGCAAGUCGAACGGAAAGGCCCUGCUUUUGUGGGGUUGUCGAUUGGCGAACAGGGGAGUAACACGUGAGUAACCUGCCCUUGUCUGUGGGAGAACUUCAGGAAACAGGGGCGAAUAUCGGAUAUGAUCUCCUGCUGCAUGUGGUUGGAUGGAAAGUGUCGGCGGUGCGGGAUGGAUUCGCUGCUUAUCAGCUUGUUUGUGUGGUAGUCGCGGACCAAGGCUUUGACGGGUAGCCGGCCUGAGAGGGUGACCGGCAACAUUGGGACUGCGGUACGGCGCAGACUCCUACGGGCGGCAGCAGUGGGGAAUAUUGCACAAUGGGCGGAAGCCUGAUGUAGAGACGCCGCGUGCGGGAUGCCGGCCUUCGGGUUGUAAACCGCUUUCGACUGUGCCGAAGCGUGAGUGACGGUAAUGGGUCAAGAAGCACCGGCUAACUACGUG